UUGGUUUGGUUUGGUUUUUUUCUUCCCAGCAACUGUCUUCUCAAAGCGCCUGUCUGUCCUGAAAUUAUGUCUCUCUGUGUUUGUCAAAUGGGCAGGCACAGCUGGUGGACUUCUCCCCGUGGGUUAAAUAUUCUGAUUGAGAGAUCCUGAAGCUCUCAGCUCCUGUCUCCGCAUAUUAAGUGACACCUCCUUUAUCAUUUCCAAGCAGCCUGGAAAAGCUCUCCUUUUUGAGGCACAAAUCUGGAACAUCCCUGGGCCUUUCUUGUCUUACACAUCCCUCGAGAUAUCCUGGGAGGUCUCCUUAAGUGGCAAGCAAGGCGCUGCCGGGAAAAGAUGCCAUCGGGAGGAAGAUGUUGACGUGGUGCAGACUGUUCGUCGUGGGAAGGUAAGGCUGCAUGCAUUCAUCUAAGAAAUGAUGCUGGCCAGUGAAAGGUCAAUGAGGGUUUGUUUUUUUUUGGAGUUCCUUUGUUGUUUUGUUCUUAAUUGGGUGAAUUAAAUGCUUAUGAAGAUGAAAGAGUGUUUUAAUAAAUUAUUAGCAUCAGAUAUAUAGGACUAUGAGGAUUAUCAAGGCUUCCUGGCAGAGCCCUGUCAGGGCCACGCCAUCUCUGCUCCCUAUUUUAUCAUCAUCCAUCAUUUUAUCACAAUCCAUCAUGUUUCUGCUGCCGGCCCGGGGCCCCAGCUGACCCCAGCACCCCACUCACUGAGUGCUGUACACGCAGUGUGGGGAGCCCAACCACAGGCAUGAAGCAACAGGUGAAAUGGGCAGACAAAAAUCAGGAGGGAAAAUGAAAAUGAGAUGAAGGGCUCGAGAUCAAACAGCAACGUAAAAAGCCAAAACUAUGUAAAAAGCCAAAACUAUGCGUACACACCCAAAAAAAGCCCAUAAAAAAACCUACCCAACACCCUCUACCCCCAACCCUCCCCCAGAUUUAAACCAACCAACCAAAAACCCACCUGGGGUCAAACCCGGUGUCCUGAGCCCGGGCCCCAAAGUGUCCCCCAGUGUCCUGAGCCCAGGAGCUCCAAAACGGUUUGAAACAGCCACCUGCUGCGUGGUUUCAGUGGGUUCUGUAAACCACAGCUUAUGGCUGAUUUUAAAGUGGAACCCACAGCGUAACGCGGUUGCCAGGGCCACCUGCAGUCUGUCACAGCCCCUUCCCCACCAUCACCCAGAAAGGUCACCCAGCAUCAGGCAGCUUUGAGCUGGUGCCCAGCACGAGUUCAGCAUGGGGAUGGAGAGGAGCUCCCCUAUGCCUUGAGGACCAGCACAUCUCACCAGCUUCCCCUUUCCUCCCCCCAUGGAA